rnacentral:rRNA from 2 species
GGUGGCGGUUAUACUGGAGUUGUCCCACCUGUUCCCAUUUCGAACACAGAAGUGAAAUACUCCAAGGCCGAUGAUAGUGUCUCAGGUUGAGGCGCGAAAGUAGGUAACUGCCACCC